UCCUGCAUAGCUUGCCGUAUAGUGGUUAGUACUCUGUGUUGUGGCCACAGCAACCUCGGUUCGAAUCCAAGUCAUAGCAGGAA